CCUACGGGUGGCUGCAGUGAGGAAUAUUGGUCAAUGGACGGGAGUCUGAACCAGCCAUGUAGCGUGCAGGAUGACGGCCCUACGGGUUGUAAACUGCUUUUGUAAAAGGAUAAACUUAAGUACGUGUGCUUUUUUGUAUGUACUGUACGAAUAAGGAUCGGCUAACUCCGUGCCAGCAGCCGCGGUAAUACGGAGGAUCCAAGCGUUAUCCGGAUUUAUUGGGUUUAAAGGGUGCGUAGGUGGGUUGUUAAGUUAGUUGUGAAAGUUUGCGGCUGAACUGUGGAACUGCCACUAAUACUGGUAGUCUAGAGAAGAGAUGCGGUAGGCGGAAGGUAUGGUGUAGCGGUGAAAUGCUUAGAGAUCAUACAGAACACCGAUUGCGAAGGCAGCUUACCAAUCUAAAACUGACAUUGAGGCACGAAAGUGUGGGGAGCAAACAGGAUUAGAUACCCCAGUAGUC
rnacentral:rRNA from 1 species